UGCAGUCGAGGGGUAACAGAGAAGCUUGCUUCUGCUGACGACCGGCGCACGGGUGCGUAACGCGUAUGCAACCUACCUCAUACUGGAGAAUAGCCCUUGGAAACGAGGAUUAAUACUCCAUGGUAUCAUUCUUUCGCAUGUUAGAAUGAUUAAAGAAUUUCGGUAUGAGAUGGGCAUGCGUCCCAUUAGCUUGUUGGUGAGGUAACGGCUCACCAAGGCAACGAUGGGUAGGGGGCCUGAGAGGGUGGUCCCCCACACUGGUACUGAGACACGGACCAGACUCCUACGGGAGGCAGCAGUGAGGAAUAUUGGUCAAUGGAGGCAACUCUGAACCAGCCAUGCCGCGUGAAGGAUGACGGCCCUAUGGGUUGUAAACUUCUUUUAUAUGGGAAGAAACUUAUCUACGUGUAGAUAACUGACGGUACCAUACGAAUAAGGAUCGGCUAACUCCGUGCCAGCAGCCGCGGUAAUACGGAGGAUCCAAGCGUUAUCCGGAUUCAUUGGGUUUAAAGGGUCCGUAGGCGGAUUUUUAAGUCAGUGGUGAAAGCCGACRGCUCAACUGUCGAACUGCCAUUGAUACUGGAAAUCUUGAGUACAAAUGAAGUAGGCGGAAUGAGUCAUGUAGCGGUGAAAUGCAUAGAUAUGACUCAGAACACCGAUUGCGAAGGCAGCUUACUAACAUGUAACUGACGCUGAGGGACGAAAGCGUGGGGAGCGAACAGGAUUAGAUACCCUGGUAGUCCACGCCGUAAACGAUCAUCACUCGCUGUUGGCGAUAUACUGUCAGCGGCCAAGCGAAAGUAUUAAGUGAUGCACCUGGGGAGUACGCCGGCAACGGUGAAACUCAAAGGAAUUGACGGGGG
rnacentral:rRNA from 1 species